rnacentral:misc_RNA from 1 species
GGACUACCGGGGUUUCUAAUCCUGUUUGCUCCCCACGCUUUCGCGCCUCAGCGUCAAUGUCGGUCCAGUUGGCCGCCUUCGCCACGGAUAUUCUUCCCAAUAUCUACGAAUUUCACCUCUACACUGGGAAUUCCACCAACCUCUACCGAAUUCAAGUAAAACAGUCUUGAGUGCAGUUCCAGGGUUGAGCCCUGGGCUUUCACACCCAACUUGUUAAACCGCCUACGCGCCCUUUACGCCCAGUAAUUCCGAACAACGCUAGCUCCCUUCGUAUUACCGCGGCUGCUGACAC